rnacentral:rRNA from 1 species
GCGCACCAGGCGCGAAACCUCCGCAAUACACGAAAGUGUGACGGGCCAUCCCGAGUGCCGUCCGCUGAGGACGGCUUUCCCCAGUGUACAUAGCUGGGGAAUAAGGAGAGGGCAAGCCUGGUGUCAGCCGCCGCGGUAAUACCAGCUCUCCGAGUGGUGGGGACGCUUAUUGGGCCUAAAGCAUCCGUAGCCGGCUAGGCAAGUCCUCCGUUAAAUCCAACGAUUCAAUCGUUGGGCUGCGGGGGAUACUGUCCAGCUUGGGGGCGGGAGAGGCCGACGGUAUUCCCGGGGUAGGGGCGAAAUCCUAUAAUCCCGGGAGGACCACCAGUGGCGAAGGCUGUCGGCUAGAACGCGCCCGACGGUGAGGGAUGAAAGCUGGGGGAGCGAACCGGAUUAGAUACCCGU